CCUACGGGAGGCAGCAGUGGGGAAUCUUGCGCAAUGGGCGAAAGCCUGACGCAGCCAUGCCGCGUGAAUGAUGAAGGUCUUAGGAUUGUAAAAUUCUUUCACCGGGGACGAUAAUGACGGUACCCGGAGAAGAAGCCCCGGCUAACUUCGUGCCAGCAGCCGCGGUAAUACGAAGGGGGCUAGCGUUGCUCGGAAUUACUGGGCGUAAAGGGAGCGUAGGCGGAUAGUUUAGUCAGAGGUGAAAGCCCAGGGCUCAACCUUGGAAUUGCCUUUGAUACUGGCUAUCUUGAGUUUGGGAGAGGUGAGUGGAACUCCGAGUGUAGAGGUGAAAUUCGUAGAUAUUCGGAAGAACACCAGUGGCGAAGGCGACUCACUGGCCCAAUACUGACGCUGAGGCUCGAAAGCGUGGGGAGCAAACAGGAUUAGAUACCCUGGUAGUCCACGCCGUAAACGAUGAGUGCUAGUUGUCGGCAUGCAUGCAUGUCGGUGACGCNGCUACGCAUAGACACUCCGCCGUCGGGAGGUACGGUCGCGAAGAAUUAAACGUACGAAAGGAAGUUAGUACGGACGUGAGACGUGCCGACGGACGACGACGAGGGAGGAGG
rnacentral:rRNA from 1 species